UACGGAGGGUGCAAGCGUUAUCCGGAAUCACUGGGUUUAAAGGGUGCGUAGGCGGCUAAAUAAGUCAGAGGUGAAAGCUUGCAGCUUAACUGCGAAAUUGCCUUUGAUACUGUAUAGCUUGAAAGGAGCUGAGGUCAGCAGAAUGUGGCAUGUAGCGGUGAAAUGCAUAGAUAUGCCAUAGAAUACCAAUUGCGAAGGCAGCUGGCUGGGCUUACUUUGACGCUGAGUCACGAAAGCGUGGGGAUCGAUCUGG
rnacentral:rRNA from 1 species